rnacentral:rRNA from 1 species
GAUGAACGCUGGCGGCGUGCCUAAUACAUGCAAGUCGAGCGAACAGACGAGGAGCUUGCUCCUCUGACGUUAGCGGCGGACGGGUGAGUAACACGUGGAUAACCUACCUAUAAGACUGGGAUAACUUCGGGAAACCGGAGCUAAUACCGGAUAAUAUAUUGAACCGCAUGGUUCAAUAGUGAAAGGCGGUUUUGCUGUCACUUAUAGAUGGAUCCGCGCCGCAUUAGCUAGUUGGUAAGGUAACGGCUUACCAAGGCAACGAUGCGUAGCCGACCUGAGAGGGUGAUCGGCCACACUGGAACUGAGACACGGUCCAGACUCCUACGGGAGGCAGCAGUAGGGAAUCUUCCGCAAAGGGCGAAAGCUUGACGGAGCAACGCCGCGUGAGUGAUGAAGGUCUUCGGAUCGUAAAACUCUGUUAUUAGGGAAGAACAAAUGUGUAAGUAACUAUGCACGUCUUGACGGUACCUAAUCAGAAAGCCACGGCUAACUACGUG